CCUACGGGUGGCAGCAGUGGGGGAUAUUGCACAAUGGGGGAAACCCUGAUGCAGCGACGCCGCGUGAGUGAAGAAGUAUUUCGGUAUGUAAAGCUCUAUCAGCAGGGAAGAAAAUGACAGUACCUGACCAAGAAGCCCCGGCUAACUACGGGCCAGCAGCCGCGGUAAUACGCAGGGGGCAAGCGUUAUCCGGAUGUACGGGGUGUAAAGGGAGCGCAGACGGUUAUGUAAGUCUGAAGUGAAAGCCGGGGGCCCAAGCCCGGAACUGCUUUUGAAACUGGGUGGCUGGAGUACAGGAGAGGCGGGCAGAAUUCCAGGUGUAGCGGUGAAAUGCGUAGAGAUCAGGAGGAACACCGGCGGCGAAGGCGGCCUGCUGGACUGAGACUGACGUUGAGGCGCGAAAGCGUGGGGAGCAAACAGGAUUAGAUACCCUUGUAGUC
rnacentral:rRNA from 1 species